rnacentral:rRNA from 1 species
CCUACGGGUGGCUGCAGUGAGGAAUAUUGGUCAAUGGGCGGGAGCCUGAACCAGCCAAGUAGCGUGAAGGAUGACAGCCUUAUGGGUUUUAAACUUCUUUUAUAAGGGAAUAAAGUGACCCACGUGUGGGGUUUUGUAUGUACCUUAUGAAUAAGCAUCGGCUAAUUCCGAGCCAGCAGACACGGUAAUACGGAAGUUGCGAGCGUUAUCCGGUUUUAUUGGGGUAAAAGGGAGCGUAGGCGGUUCCAUAAGUCCGCGGUAAAAUCGUGCGGCUCAACCGUACCGUGCCGUGGAAACUGGGGGACUUGAGUAUGCGCAGGGUACAAGGAAUUCGUGGUGUAGCGGUGAAAUGCGUAGAUAUCACGAAGAACACCGAUCGCGAAGGCAUUGUACCGGAGCAAGACUGACGCUGAGGCUCGAAAGUGCGGGUAUCAAACAGGAUUAGAUACCCUUGUAGUC